UACGUAGGGGGCGAGCGUUGUCCGGAUUUAUUGGGCGUAAAGAGCUCGUAGGCGGCUUGGCAAGUCGGGUGUGAAACCUCCAGGCUCAACCUGGAGACGCCACUCGAUACUGCUGUGGCUAGAGUCCGGUAGGGGAGUGUGGAACUCCUGGUGUAGCGGUGAAAUGCGCAGAUAUCAGGAAGAACACCAGCGGCGAAGGCGGCACUCUGGGCCGGAACUGACGCUGAGGAGCGAAAGCGUGGGUAGCAAACAGG
rnacentral:rRNA from 1 species